rnacentral:rRNA from 1 species
GGAAUCUUCCGCAAUGGGCGAAAGCCUGACGGAGCAACGCCGCGUGAGGGAGGAAGGUCUUUGGAUUGUAAACCUCUUUUCUCAAGGAAGAAGUUCUGACGGUACUUGAGGAAUCAGCCUCGGCUAACUCCGUGCCAGCAGCCGCGGUAAUACGGGGGAGGCAAGCGUUAUCCGGAAUUAUUGGGCGUAAAGCGUCCGCAGGUGGUCAGCCAAGUCUGCCGUCAAAUCAGGUUGCUUAACGACCUAAAGGCGGUGGAAACUGGCAGACUAGAGAGCAGUAGGGGUAGCAGGAAUUCCCAGUGUAGCGGUGGAAUGCGUAGAGAUUGGGAAGAACAUCGGUGGCGAAAGCGUGCUACUGGGCUGUAUCUGACACUCAGGGACGAAAGCUAGGGGAGCGAAAGGGAUUAGAUACCCCUGUAGU